UUUAAAAGCAUAUUUUCCUAAGUUUUGAAUAUAUAAAUUUCUAUAGAAUAUCUUUCAGUAGACUUAUAGGAAGAUGGAACCAGCAUUUUGAAAGCGACUAAGAUGGGAGUUUGGUGUUGUGAAGGAACAGAAAUGUGUGACUGUAUGUCAACAGGAUGAUGGUAGUGAUGAUCUAAAUAAUCACUAUUGUUAUAACCACCACUUAGCAGGUGCCAGACACUUCCAUGUAAUUUUAUUUGAUCUUUACAGUAGCUUUGUGGUAGCUAUUGUCUCCACUUUACAGAUUAGAAAACUGAGGUCAAAGAUUCCUAUAACUAGUAUGUAGCAGAACUGUGACUUGAACUUGGAAAAUUGUUUUCCUAACCUCUUCUUUAUAUAAACUCUAACACUUACAUAAAGAAAAGUUUAACUCUCUAUGUAAGCUGCCUAAUUAUUUGCCUUACCUUCCAUUUCAGAAAUGGCAUUUAUCAUGAUAAUUAUAAAAAUGAGUAUCAGACAUGUUUGAUGGUGUUGCCAGUCUCUUCCAUUCACUUCUUGCCUUCAAAAUCUGAAAAGCAUUUUCUUUGAUCCAGCAGAGGAAAGUGGGAUGAUAUAGUUGUCAGUGAUAGUUACUUUUUUGAUGUUAAGUCUGCACAGCUGUAAGUCAAGCAGCUGUGUAGAGAACGGAUUUCACCACCAGGAGAGCUGUAGUUACAAACUUAAUUUUGAAAGUGAU
rnacentral:lncRNA from 1 species